rnacentral:rRNA from 1 species
CGAGAUUCCCCCAGUAGCGGCGAGCGAACGGGGAGCAGCCCAGAGCCUGAAUCAGUGUGUGUGUUAGUGGAAGCGUCUGGAAAGGCGCGCGAUACAGGGUGACAGCCCCGUACACAAAAAUGCACAUGCUGUGAGCUCGAUGAGUAGGGCGGGACACGUGGUAUCCUGUCUGAAUAUGGGGGGACCAUCCUCCAAGGCUAAAUACUCCUGACUGACCGAUAGUGAACCAGUACCGUGAGGGAAAGGCGAAAAGAA